CCCAGACUCCUACGGGAGGCAGCAGUGAGGAAUAUUGGUCAAUGGGCGAGAGCCUGAACCAGCCAAGUCGCGUGAGGGAGUACUGCCCUAUGGGUUGUAAACCUCUUUUGUCGGGGAGCAAAAGCCGGACGUGUCCGGCUGUGAGAGUACCCGAAGAAAAAGCAUCGGCUAACUCCGUGCCAGCAGCCGCGGUAAUACGGAGGAUGCGAGCGUUAUCCGGAUUUACUGGGUGUAAAGGGAGCGUAGACGGUAGAGCAAGUCUGAAGUGAAAGCCCGCGGCUCAACUGCGGGACUGCUUUGGAGACUGAUCAACUGGAGUGCUGGAGAGGUAAGCGGAAUUCCUAGUGUAGCGGUGAAAUGCGUAGAUAUCAGGAGGAACACCGGUGGCGAAGGCGGCCUGCUGGACUGCGACUGACGUUGAGGCCCGAAAGCGUGGGGAGCAAACAGGAUUAGAUACCCGCGUACU
rnacentral:rRNA from 1 species